GACGAACGCUGGCGGCGUGCUUAACACAUGCAAGUCGAACGGUAAGGCCCUUCGGGGUACACGAGUGGCGAACGGGUGAGUAACACGUGGGUAAUCUGCCCUGCACAUCGGGAUAAGCCUGGGAAACUGGGUCUAAUACCGAAUAGGACCACAGGACACAUGUCCUGUGGUGGAAAGCUUUUGCGGUGUGGGAUGGGCCCGCGGCCUAUCAGCUUGUUGGUGGGGUGAUGGCCUACCAAGGCGACGACGGGUAGCCGGCCUGAGAGGGUGUCCGGCCGCACUGGGACUGAGAUACGGCCCAGACUCCUACGGGAGGCAGCAGUGGGGAAUAUUGCACAAUGGGCGAAAGCCUGAUGCAGCGACGCCGCGUGGGGGAUGACGGCCUUCGGGUUGUAAACCUCUUUCACCAUCGACGAAGGUCCGGGUUUUCUCGGGCUGACGGUAGGUGGAGAAGAAGCACCGGCCAACUACGU
rnacentral:rRNA from 1 species